CAUGUUUUCUUCGAAGAAAAAUUUUUUUUCUUGGAAUUUGUUACGUAACAGGGGAGGGGGGGAUGGAGAAAUUUGUGACAAUUUGUUACAUCGUUACAUACCCCCGUGUUCAAAUCAUUCAUCGCAAGAGUAUGGUGCACAAAAUCUUUCCGGAUUCGAACGUGAAACAGCAAAUUAAAGUGGUGAGUUUGAUUAUUGUCAAAUAUUUAUCAAGUGACGAUAAUUAUUUUUAUCUUUCAGAAAAAAAAAACUUCGCAGAGGAUUUUAACAUAAAAGCACAGAGUUUAUUCACCAGCUGCAUUUGGGCCCGUUCAAAAUCACCACAGUUUUUCAAUUCCGUGAUCGAAAGUUCUACCUAGCACACUAAAACUAUGCUGCAAAAAUGUUUAUAAACCUCUAUGAAGAAUACCAAUUUCUUACAAAGGCAGCAGGUAUGGGCGAGCAUCACUACUGUAUGCACUACUGCAAGAUUAAGAUUUGAUUAGAGAUCCGUACGGCUUGACUGUUGGAUUCACCAAGGGAGCGGGAGACUGCGAACUCCACCAGAGAGCCAAUCCAGGACCGAUCAGUGUGGGUGGGCCUCGGGUGCAGUUUAUAAAAUUACCGGUGUCAUUGACAAUGGACUGGCCGCGCUCACGUUUGACAGCGACUACCAGGAUGGGCACGCAGCUGUAAAAAUAAUCACGGACGCGUUCGGUGGAAUCACUGGAGACAGAUCUCGCCGCUCGGAAAUUUUGAUACCAUUAAGCGAACUAUGAAAUUCUCGGCUGAUUAUGCUUAGGCCAUCCCGGUUUCUAUACGAGCGUUGAAUUGAUACCUUAGUCACUGGGUGAAUUCAGGAAAAUAUAAGAAGCAGAUUAUAUGGAAGAUUAUUGUUGUAAAUUUAUUAUUUAGUGUAAUUCAGUACCGGAAUUACUGGGAAUAAAAUUUUACCGCGAAAAUGACAAGCAAGGCAGUACUUUUUGGUCUUGGGCAAUGUAAUAUUUUAGAAUUGUGUUGAAGAUACCAAUAAACCAAAUUCCAAGAGAUGUGUUUGUGUUUUUUAAUGGGUGAUUGUGUGUAUGUGUUAGUUAUUUCGCGAUGAUGGUUGAUGCGCAAUAGUUAAUGGUUUAUGCGCAAUAGUUUUUGUGCUCGUAUUCAAAUUGCUGUAUAUUUGCCUAGUACAAUGCUGAAGGAAUGGAUUUGAAAGCGGUGGCAGGUUAGUAGAAUGAGAGUGGAGGAAGCGUCAGAAAUCUUUUCUUAUUUCGGUAUGCGAGGUGGAUGAAGGGAAUGCUGGUGUGAGGGUGGUCCAAAUCUUGCGUGGUGGAUAAGAGUGGGAGAUCCGAGCGAGUGUUGGUUAAUUGAUCUCUGAAUCUCAUGACUAAUAAUGAUUAGAUCGAGUGUUUUGGCGGACAGCUGGUAUGGAUGUUUAUACUUUUGAAUGGAGGGACAUAUUGGUUCAGCUGGUCGAAGACGCAUUUGAUUUUGGGCAUAGUGACCGAUUCUUUCGAUUCAAAUCAAUGGACUGUAUCUAUAACAGAUGAUCAGACUGAAGGUGGGUGUUUUUAUCUCUUAACUCGCUCGAACUGUCGCUCCCUCUUAACCGCUUGUAAAUAUGGCAAGUAACAUUCGUCUAUAACGAAUAGGAUUCGCUGUUUUCAGAAACAGGGAUGACUAUCUCUUAUGGAUGGAUUCUUUUUCUUAAACAUACUGUUCAGACACUAGUUAAUGCUCAACUAGCUCAACAUAAAUAGAAACACGUACUUUUUGAAGAAAUCCAAUCCACGCGAACCAUAUCACCAAACACCUAAAAGUAGUUUAGAUGCAUGUAAUAUCUAUUUCUUUUUGUAUUUCAAUAGUAUAGAAAAUCUCUUUAUUCUCGAAGAUAUUCUCCCAUUUUAUAGAUCAAUUUAUUCUAUCUUAACAUU